CAGUAGCCGCGGUAAAACAGAGGGUGCAAGCGUUAAUCGGAAUUACUGGGCGUAAAGCGCGCGUAGGUGGUUUGUUAAGUUGGAUGUGAAAUCCCCGGGCUCAACCUGGGAACUGCAUCCAAAACUGGCAAGCUAGAGUAUGGUAGAGGGUGGUGGAAUUUCCUGUGUAGCGGUGAAAUGCGUAGAUAUAGGAAGGAACACCAGUGGCGAAGGCGACCACCUGGACUGAUACUGACACUGAGGUGCGAAAGCGUGGGGAGCAAACAGGAUUAGAUACCCCCGUAGUCCCUGUCUCUUAUAU
rnacentral:rRNA from 1 species